rnacentral:rRNA from 1 species
AGGAUGGACCCGAGGAGUAUUGGUUAGUUGGGAAGGGAAAGUCAUACAAAGGCGAAGAGCAGUAGCCGACCUGAGAGGGUGAUCGGACACAGUAGAACUGAGACACAGGCCAAACGCGUACGGGAGGCAGGAGUGGGGAAUAUUGCAAAAUGGGAGAAAGACUGAUGCAGCAACGCCGGGUGAGGGAUGAAGGACUGCGGGUCGUAAAACUCUGUCCUAAAGGAAGAUAAUGACGGUACUUGAGGAGGAAGCCCCGGCUAACUAAGUGCCAGCAGCCGCGGUAAUACGUAGGGGGCUAGCGUUAUCCGGAUUUACUGGGCGUAAAGGGUGCGUAGGCGGUCUUUCAAGUCAGGAGUGAAAGGCUACGGCUCAACCGUAGUAAGCUCUUGAAACUGGGAGACUUGAGUGCAGGAGAGGAGAGUGGAAUUCCUAGUGUAGCGGUGAAAUGCGUAGAUAUUAGGAGGAACACCAGUUGCGAAGGCGGCUCUCUGGACUGU